AUAUCUAUAAUAAUUUCCUAAAAAUCAAUUAACAUGUAAAUUUUAAAAAAAUUUCAGGAGAAAAUGUUCAAUGUGUCUUAUGCAAAUAGACAUGUUUGAAGUUCAGAAAUUACAUAUUUUUAUUUUAUAGAAACAUAUUAUUUGGGGUCUAUUACCUUUUGAAUUUAAGCUACAGAUAUAUGUAUAGCCUAUUAUUUAUCUGGUACUUUUGUAAAUAAACUAUUCAGUAAGAGCCUGUUGAACAUUUAUAACUGAGUUUUACCUGCAGUUACAGUACUCUAUUAAUGUAAUGAAACCGUUAAACGAAAUAAAUUAAACAUAAACAACACUCUGAUUCAUAAGGUAAUUUUAAAUGAACUAAAGUCAUUACAAAGAAAAAUUGUUCUAAACAUAAAAAUAAAUAUACAGUAAAACUUAGAUAAGCUAAAUAAAAUCGCGCUUUGUGGGCCUAAUCGAUCAAUGUCGUUGGCCAGAACCUUUUAAAGCUGUAAAAAACGAUAUUUUUUUUUCAAAUAUGACGGACAAACGAGGAACGAUUUCAGAAAUAUAUACAUACAUUGUGCAAAAAAUUAUAAUUGAUUUAAGAUACUAGUUUCUCAACGUCAAUGCUGUUAUUAUAAGUAAUACUUAGGAAUGUUGUAAAUAUAAGUUUUAACUUAAUUACUUGAUCACAAAUUAUCCUUUACAGCUGGUAUCCUCAAAUACAGUAAUUUUCCUGAAUUAUUGUACUGCUAUGAGUAAUCGUAAUUCCAUCUGGAUUCUUUCAAGUUACUUUAAGUUAUCAACAAUUACUCGCAUCAUUGUAAUAUGCUCAGAGUGAACUUAUAAUGCCAUUUUAAACUCAGAUUUAUUGAAGUGAAUAUAAAAGUAGCUGAUUAUAAGCCUAUGUAAUAUUAAAAGAAAAGAAAAUUCAGUAUAAAUAAUGAUUCGACAUUGAAAACUUCCAAAAUUAAAAAGAAAACUUGGCUUAAAAAGUUAUGAAAUAAUUUAUAUUUCAUUUUUUAUAUAGCAUAAUUGCUAUUUAUAAUACAUAAUAAGUGAAUAUGAUAUUUAAAGUUGAUUUUAAUAAUGACAUGAAUUAAAAUGAGGAGAUGGCCCACUGGACUGAUAAUUAUUUAUGUAAUAAAAAACGGUAGCAUAGUGGGGUCGAGGAAUAGUGAGGAAGUGGCAUAGUUGAGACAAAUAAUAUUAUUAAAUAAGUAAUUAAAAUCACUAUCAUAAAAAAUGCUUUGAUGCAAAUCUAUAGAUAGUGUUUAUUUCUUAGGAGGAAUUGUUGAACUAUUCCAAAAAUAACAUCAAAUGCUAUUUUCUUAAUUAUAUCAUAACUAGUAAGAAACAAGUAUUUAAAUAGAAAAAAAAUGUUUUUAUAUUAUUAUUGAUUUUAAUAUGUUAAAAAUAAU